AAUCCUACAUACAUAUGAUUCACUCAGGGCUUUGGCCGACCCGAGGCUAUAUAAGACACUUUCCCAAGGUGACACGCAGUGGCAAUGAACCCAGAAUCAUAUGAUUGGGAAGCAAGCUUCUUACCACACAGCCACGCCUGCGCC